UUGUUGCGUGGCCUGAGGAUUUGGCGGAAUUUGGUCCUUGUGUUGAGUCGACCCGCAUUUCAUUUGCAGUUGUUGAUUGUGGAAAUUGUCCUGUAGUUCCAUUUCAUCCAUUUCAGGCGGUCUCCUCGCCAGUACUAGCAUCUAUAGAUAUGCUAGAUGCAAUUGCGGGAAUGAAUUGCAGCAGGUUCAGAGCAUUCUAUAAAUAAAAAAAUAGAUUUUGUCUUCAAUACGAGUCCAGAUGCGUUGAGCGACUCACGUCUGGUGGGUCAACAAUUUUGUUGCUCCUUUUUGGGACUAAUGUUAUCUUAGGAUAGUGUUUCAUGAAGGGAAUAGUCAUGCACAUGACGGGGUAGGAUUAUAUCCGCCGGAGGUCAUUCAUAACUGCCCCUGUCUUCUUGCUGUUGUCCAAGUGGUUUUCCAUUUUGAGCUUCAGUGCUCUGCUUGUGUUGCAAGUACAACACUGCACCCGUUGUUUCUUUUUAUUUAUGAAUAGUUUAUGUAACUUGCAAGUACAACCUCAAAAUAAAGUAGUUUUUGAUUUUUAUAAAAUUGUCAUUCAGAAUAAUACGGACAAUUAAUUCAUUAUAUAUGCAAGCAGCUGAUUCUUGGUGAAAAUUGCUUUGCCUGUAUGUAUGUAGAGUCUUGUAGCUAACUGAUGGGGAAAAAUGCGCCAUGUAAAUCUAAUUGAUGAAAAAUGAAGUUUGGCCAUCAGAAGCCUGUUUGUAGCUGUAUGCAGAUGUUUAGAUGUGCAGUAAGUGAACAUCCGAACAAGAUUAACGAGUGAGGGUCGGUGUUCAGUAGAUAAUAAGAUUGUUCUAAUAUUUCAGUUUGUCCGUUUCAAUACAAUAUUACAUAGGCGAUGUCUUGUUAAUAGAAAUCACUCAACUUUUCUCUUUCAGUUUUUACUUCUACUUCACAGAGUGGAAGAUUGUAAGAAAACAUUGGCUGAUCUUUAACAAUUAUUCUUAGAGUAAACCAGAGCAAUAUUCGAUGAUAUAUUGUGAGUCACUGAAAAUGUAUAUUGUGUUUUUCUUCAGGAUAUGGAUGACUAUCUGAACGUAUGCAGGUUUCUUCCGAAACUUAACAAUGAGAUACUAGGUGAAAGAAAUGCUCCCUACAAGGAAAGGUUGGGCAGCCUAGAGAAUUUAGUACUGAUCAUGGGGUGAUCGUCGUGGACUACCGCAACCCGGUGGGCAUCGUGCUCUUCAACAACUCGGAGACGGACUUCACCGUGAAGGCCAGCGACUGUGUCACACCGAUGAUUGUCCUGGUGAUUGUGACACCGGAGGUCGCUGAGGUGGAGGACCUUGACGCCACCGUCCGGAGGUCGUCGAGGUGGAGGACCUCGAUGCCACCGUCUGGAGGUUGCCGAGGUGAAGGACCUCGACGCCUUGGUAGAUACAUUUAGAGAAGAGGUCUGCUUAGGUUGGUGGUGGGACGCUAGGGAAGGUACCUAUCUUUCGUGAUGGUUGUGUGCAUCUGAUAUAUAAAUGGAAUCUCAUGAUUUCUUUGAGUUGAGAUUUUCAAUGUUGUAUACAUGAACGCUGCAAGUGCUAAGAGUGUAAGUGCUAAGAUGGUUCUAUGACCUUUGCACUGGAUGUGUCUUGAUUACCAUCCAUAAAUAUUGCAUAUAA